GUGGAUGUAGCUCAAUUGGUUAGAGCAUCGGUUUGUGGCACCGAGGGUUGAGGGUUCAAGUCCCUUCAUUCACCCCA
rnacentral:tRNA from 1 species